rnacentral:rRNA from 1 species
AUGCCAGCAGCACUGCCGCCGACGCUCCCUGAGGAGCUUGUCGAAGAGAUCCUCCUCCGCAUCCCGCCCGACGAGCCUGCCGGCCUCCUUCGCGCCUCCCUCGUCUGCAAGUCCUGGAGCCAGGCCGUCUCCCAUCGCGGAUUCCGGCGCCGCCUCCAGGAUUUCCACCGGGCACCCCCCGUGCUCGGGUUUCUCCAUGAUUGGGACGACGAGGACAUCCCCGACUUUAUCUCCGCCACUGUGUCGCCCUUCUCCCUUGCUGUCCCAGACAGCUGGCUCUGGCAGGCCGUUGACUGCCGCCACGGCCGCGCACUCUUCCUCUCUGAUGACCCUUAUCCUGAGGAACUCCUGGUGUGGGAGCCAAUCACGGGUUCCCAGCAGCUUGUGCCAGUGCCCGUGAUGUCUGAUAUCGGCCGCACAACCGCCUCAGUGUUCUGCGCAGCAGAUGGGUGCGACCACUGCAACUGCCAUGGGGGCCCUUUCUGCGUUGUCUUUGUCUUCUCCGUCGACAGCGAAGAUCCUGACGACGGGGAAUAUGACACGGCAGCAUGUGUAUACUCGUCAGAGACCGGUGCUUGGGGCGAGCUGACCGUGAUGCAUGGGGAGUUCUACAUGCACUUCACAUAUUCUUCCAGUGUGCUUGUUGGGGAGUCUUUGCUCUACUUCAUGACUGAUGGUGGGUUGAUCCUGGAGUAUGACAUGGCAAUGCAUGGGCUGACUUGGUUCAAGGCACCAUACUCUUGCUACUCUAAGGGUAUACCCAGUUACAUUCUCAUGCCGGCAGAGGACGGUGGACUGGGACUCGUUGAAGAAUUGGAUCCGCAUCUGAAAUUGUGGUCAAGGGAGAUGACUGAUGCCCGAUGGAUACCCAGCCGGAUUAUCAACUUGGGAAGUUUGUCUCUAAAUGGUGCUCAAAUGGGUGCAACAUGUCCGGUCCACGUGUUGGGCUUUGCGGAGGGAGCAAACGUCAUUGUCGUGACCACUGCUGCCGGCCUCUUCAGAGUUCAAGUCCAAUCAGAGGAGAUAACCAGGGUGUGCGAUGAUCAUGGAUAUGGUAACCUGAUUCCUGUUGUCGGCUUCUACACUCCUAUGCCCCAAGUGGCAGCAGCUGAAGCUUAA